ensembl:lncRNA
AAGAAAACAUGUUAACUUGAUGCUUUUUUCUUUCUGUCUGCCUGGUGUGCAAACAACUAAAGAAUCUUUGUAAAACAAUGUCACAACAUAAUUGUAACUAACAUGUCACUGUGUUACUGAAAAAUUUAAUGUGAUUACAGAAACACAUUACACUGAACACUGCAUGGGACUAGCAGGCCUUGGUGAACGACGACAACAACAAGUUGGAAAAAUGAAAGUGGGGUGACAACUGCGAGUCCCCUUUCUGCCUCCCCUCCAGGGCCAGUGUGAAGUUUUCAGUUUGAUUGAAGGCCUCUUUUCUGUGGUGUGCAGUGUGAAAGCUGUCCUAAUUGAAUGAUAAAGUGCCCCGAGAUGGAGUCCACUGAAUAGCCAACAAUGGCCAGCCUGUGUGUGGUAGAGGGAUUUUGGUUCACAUCCAGCCUCUGCCUCUCUGCUCCGAGAGGGGGCCUAUUAUAAUACUCUCUGCUGGACUCGGUCACGUGAUACUGCCUUGCUCCCUGCUACUCACCCCCUCCUCCCUUUUUGUCCCCCCCCCCCCAAUCUCAUCUCCUCCCUGUUCCAGUGUGGCCUGGCCAAUCCGGUCACAUCAUCGUCCUCUUCUUCACCCUGCUGGUUUGGUUGGAUGGUCUCAUUUUACCAGCGAGUGAAUCUCUUUGUGUGUGUGUGUGUGUGUGUGUGUGUGUGUGUAUACUGUACGUAUCUAUUAACUCAAAAUGUCCUCAGGCCUGUGCAUCCAUCCACUGCUGUCAGGUUACCAGGGUGAUAUAGAAAAACUCUAUGACAAAACAGAAGUGAAAGCAAGCACUAGAUUUCAAAGUGACUCAUCUUAUUGAUCUAAGUUGAAACCUUUCAACCACAGAGUGUUUGACAGUUUUAGGGUUGCCAAAAAGUUUGGAUAUUUAUAAAGACAUAUAACAAAUUUGAGAAUGCUGCCCAAAGACUUCUGAAUAUUCAAGAACGCCAAGUCACUUCCCAUAUGGAAAAGAUAUAAAUCUUAUAAAGUUUGUAUCUGUCUUGUGUGGAACUUGUUUGAAAAGCAUACAAGAGUGAAAACAGAUAUAAAAUCCCUUGAAAAAUUAUAUAAAUGAAACUUGUAUGUUUUGGAUACUUAUUAAAACAAUAUAUGAAAGUAAUGAGAAAGUGCCAACUUUCAUGAGUAAAUCAUAUAAGCCUUAUAUGAUUCACUAUAUGAAGUAAGCCAAAUCUUAUGCAAGUCUUUUAUAAGUUUUUUUCUAUUUCUUCUCCAUAUGGGUUGACUUGGGCAGCUUAAAAGUGGAUGCUCACAAUUUCAUUGAGAGAGAAUGAUGUGCAGUGACACUGGCACCAGCUUCUAUUUCGAUAGAAAGGACAUCUGUGUAUCUAUUUAGCUAGCUAUCUGCAUUUACUUUUUUUUGUUUCAACUUUUGUAUGACUGUAAGAAAUUCAUUAUGAACAACUUUUCUACAGAAUUUCUUGCACAGCCUCUUGAUAUCAAUAGCCUUCAGUCACUGUAGCAUUCCAGCCAGACUUUAUUCAGACGAUGCACUCAAUGAUCAUUACGGAUGGACCAUAAUUCACAGAAAAGGCACAGGAUCAGCCUGCUAGAUCACUCAGAAACUUGUUAACAAUCAAGUAAUACAUUUACAAAUUGUCCGAAAUUUAAACAACAAGUACAAUACACAAACAUACCUGUUCGCCUUCCAGCUAGAUGCUAAUUUAAAGAUGGAUGGAAAACAAUAAGUUUCUCAUUAACCUUUUCUGUGGCAAGCAGUAGCAGUUCGAUCUUCCUUCCCGGAAGUUGCCCGUUCCGAAUUUCAAAAUAAGAGUCUAAUCUAUAUUAUAAGGUAUAAUUUGUUCAGGGAUUUAAGUGUUUGAAAAAAUAUCAAAUAAACAAAUAAUCUGGGUCAUUUACAGUCACCACAACCAACCACUUUUUAUACACACAUUAAAGUUUCACUUGUGGUCUGACUAUGCUUCUGUCUAUGUAAGAGUUUGUCAUAAAUCCUUAACUGACUAGCCAGCAUGCAUUAGUGUCUUAUACUACAUCUGCUAUUUUUUUGGGAUUAAUUUUUGCCAUGAAGUGCUUGUUUUGUGUUCUGUUAUGAAUAAGUUCAUUUAAGUGGUGAAAUUUCAACUGUUGCCAAAAGGCCGAGAUGGCAGAAAGGUGACCUUUGAUCAUCAAGAUCUGUCUAGAGGAAGUAAAAGACAUAAACAUUUUCAGUAUGUGGACCUAUGGAAAGACCCUUGGUUGCCUUCAAGUGCCACUUUUGGUUUUGAUUGACUCGACUCUU